GACGAACGCUGGCGGCGUGCUUAACACAUGCAAGUCGAGCGGUAAGGCCCUUUCGGGGGUACGACGAGCGGCGAACGGGUGUGUAACACGUGGGUGACCUGCCCUCAGCUCUGGGAUAAGCCUGGGAAACCGGGUCUAAUACUGGAUAUGACUCCAUGACGCAUGUUGUGGGGUGGAAAGCCUUGUGCGGCUGAGGAUGGGCCCGCGGCCUAUCAGCUUGUUGGUGGGGUGANGGCCUACCAAGGCGACGACGGGUAGCCGGCCUGAGAGGGCGACCGGCCACACUGGGACUGAGACACGGCCCAGACUCCUACGGGAGGCAGCAGUGGAGAAUCUUGCGCAAUGGGCGAAAGCCUGACGCAGCGACGCCGCGUGAGGGAUGACGGCCUGGUGU
rnacentral:rRNA from 1 species